ensembl:lncRNA
AAGCUUACAGAGAGGCCUUUAACACCUGGAGUUGAAAGACAAGAGUUGGUUGAACUGCAAGCUGAAGAGCCUACUAAUUCUUAGUGUCACAAGGCUCCAGAGACAUUUGAGCAUUGAAAGUUUCGCCAAGGCAGUUCUGUUAAUAUGAAGGGGCAAGAAUGUGAGAUUAGAUAUAUACAAAUUAAUUGACUGAGGGGCACUUUCUGGGGUAUAGAGGAUUUAACACCCCAAGAAGAACUCUGUUAUAGACUGAAUGCGUCGCCCCAAAAUUCAUCUCUUUAAACCUAAUCCCCCGUGUGACUUGGAGGUAAGAGGCCCCAGACAGCUCGCCUGUCCUUUCCACCACGUGAAGACACAGCAAAGAGACAGCUGUUUGUGAACCAGGAAGUGGGCUCUCCCCAGACACCAAAUCGGCAAGCACCUCAGUCUUGGACUUCCCAGCCUUCAGAACCGUGAGAAAUAAAAGUUUGUUGUUUAAAUCACUCAGACUGUGGUCUUCUGUUAUAGCAGCACAAACUCAGAUACUGAUGUUCAGGGAAAACUUGCUAAGGGGAUGGAUUUUUAGAAACCGGGGGGAAAAGCCCAUUCUUAGCGAAGUGAGAAAUGUCUGAAUGGUACUGGCAGACUGUAGAGGAAGGAAUAAAGAGGCUGAGCAAAGUGAGCAUACCGGACCAGAAGAUCCAUCAGAGGACUGUGCUCUGCGAAUGUCCCCAGAGGAGACGGCAUUCACCCACGGCCAUCAGGAAAACAGUGCUGAGAGAAAGACCAACAUCACCAAGUCUGCAGGCCAGAGAUGAAGAUCCUGGUGGAAUCCGUGAUGGGAAAAGAUGCAGUUGGAAUUUAUGGCAAGUCUACUGGAAGAAUCAUGACACAGACCCUUGGGAUUCUGAAGCACAGUCAUGCCAUCUGCAGCAGAUAAUUGCUGCCCAUUGAGAAACAGCUCUUGGCCUAUCACUGUGCCCUGUAGAGACUGAUCAUUUGACCACUGGACAGUAAACCUAUCCAUUCCCUCAGACCCUUUUCAGCUGAGUGACCGGAUUUGCUAACUCCCACCAUUCCGGCUGUAUUUGUUGACAUUCUAAUAAACAGUGCUUCCCUUCUCCGUCACUCAUUUAUUUAUAACAGAUGGAUUCAUGAAUUCUUAGUUAACAGAUUAAAAUCCAUUGCCAUCAUUAUUUAUUUUGAUGUUCUCAUUGUCCUAGAUUUGAUCAAUGGGAGUGCCAGUCCUUUGUGAGUCAGGAGCCCCAGAUGUGUCGUGUCUUCCUCAUUCUUUGAGCCCUUUCUUACUUUUUGGUGUAACCAGAUGCUCCCAACUCAACUUGUACUUUCCCUGCUGCAGCUCUUGAGUCAACCAUUUCUUCAAGGAUCUCUGCUUUCUUUUCAUGGAGAAUGGUAUCCAAGGACCAUGAUCUGAGUUGUGGGUUUGCUCAUUUCUCCUGUUGUGUCAUUGCUUAUAGUUCCUCUCAGCACAGAUAUACAUACAAAUGUCUGUAUUUAUCGCUAUACCAGUUUAUACAGAUACCUUCAAUUGCAGUCUAUCACUACUUUUUAGUUUUUCCCUUUUUCAUAUUUGUAACUCCUUCAGAAAGAAGCCUGGCUUCUGUUCUCAGUGUAUCCUGUAGCUCAAGGCUAGAAUACAUGAAAGGUAGUUUUGAAAUUGCUAACUCAUACUGCUGUGAAAAGAAAAAAAAAACUUAACCAGAUUUUUAGAUAACCUGUCUGUUUUCAACCAGCCUUUCAGCUUGGCAACUGGAAAAACCAUCUUUUAAGUAAGGUUAAUAAAUUCAAACUUAAGCCCCAAAUAAGCAUGUCUAGGCCACAAAUACU